CAUAUUCCAAAUUGAAUCCAGCCGGACUCUCGACCAUUGCAGCUGAGCUCCCGAGAAUCCAAAAUCGAGACGCCACCACCACCACCACCACUUCUUCCUCCCUCCGCGCCUCGAGCUCGGCCAUUGCUUAGCGCCGCUGAUAAGCCUGUGCAAAGCUCGUGUUGAAGAACGCCUAGAAGAAGUUCAAAAGGCGAACUCUCGACCUCUACCUCUACCUCUACCUCGAAUACUCAGACAUGGUCUCUGUCUCCAGCUUGGUGUGAAUUUUCACGAUGAAUCGGUUAAUUCCACAUUUGAACCGAUUGAAAUGGCAUUAGCCUGAGACUGUUUGCGAGCUUGUUGAAAUCUCUGCGUGGACAACUUAAGAGGCUUGAUCAUGCUGAUUUGAGAUACAAGUGCACGACAUAUGCACGCCUCUUGCAACACUUGAAGGUGGUUGAUCAGGGUGCUUCUGGGGUUGGGAUUGGGAAUUUUGAGGAGAUUGGGCCAUUAGACACAUAUUUGAAGCCAAGAAAUUCAACAUGGCUGACAAAAGCUGAACUCCUCUCUGUGUGUAGGAUAAUCCGGUUGGGACAGGAUACAGUUUUGUGGAAGAUCUGGAAUUGUUGGUGAAAACUGAUUAUGAAGCUGCUGAUGAUCUAACAACACUUUUGAUUGAGAUUUUCAAUAACAAUGAAACUCUCCAAAAUAGCCCUUUAUAUUGUGGCUGAAUCUUAUGGAGGAAAAUAUGCUGUCACUCUUGCAUUAUCUGCUCUCAAAGCAAUUGAAGCUGGGAAAUUAAAGCUCAAACUUGGAGAUUUGCUACUCUUGCAACACGAAUGGAGCAAUACCUUCAAGGACAAUGGAGGGAUAUGGUUGAUCGGGCUUACACAAAGUUUUAGUCCCUCUCUGCCAAUGCAAACCUCACUCAAGAUUUCUCUCUCUCUCCUCGGUUUACCCUAGUUUCUCUGUGUGCUAGUUUGGGAGAUAGAGCUCAGGUUGAGCAGCUGGUGCAAUAUAUUGUUGAGGAACCCUAGAGGAUACUGAUAACAAAAGGACCUUCAGAUGUCACAGGUUUUACUUGGAAAAUGACAUCUCAACUGCAAAAAGAUGAGUAUUAUCAAGAAUUUCGAGUAAGCAUAUUUUUUAUUAAUAUUUGGAGUUAGCAAAAUGAAGUUUGUGAAGUAGAAACUUAAGGUAUAAUUUGUUUAGUAGACAAAUUACUGUAACAAGAAAUAUUGUUCGAGUAAAGUUUGUUUGUGUUUGGGAAUUAAAUACUGAUGGUUGUUUAGAUAUCUCAUUUUUUCAUUAAUACAUCUCCUUUAUCUUGUUUCCUCCUAAUUUUGCGAGGAAUGAUUCGGGUGCCAACCCUGACUGGAGAAGUUGUUGUAAAGGGAGCUAUUGCUGCAGAACAUGGAGCAAGUUCAUGAUUCUCUGGCCUCAAUCAAUGUCUGGACUUAGAAAGUCACAGGGACCUCGAGAGUGUUGGAGGAUCACGUGAACUCCGUGUUGAGUCACUCUGAAGUACUCUACUAGCAGUCUAAGGGGAUAAUGUCGACUCAAAGGAAGCUGAGCGAGGUGCAAGCUUUGAUGGAGGAGAAUCUGGCACAGCGAACAACGUUGCUUCAGAGCUCAGACGAAAAUCUUAAGAGACAAAAUUGUCAAGCUGAGAACCGAAGUAGCUGAGACAGAGGUCGAGAAUGGGAAGGUUGCGGAUGCAAUGUCGUCGAGGAUGAGUGUCCUGCAGAGUGAAACAGACGGUCUAGGGAAUAUGGUUGGGAUGCGUUGGAUAAACAAAAAGAGCUUUUGGAUGGCCUGUAUGUGGCUUUCGUUGUAUUUUCUUUUUAACAUAAUGCAAUUAUACAUUUCAUUCUUUUGUCCUUGUUUUAACUAUUAACAUUUAUGCCUAUUAAUCAUAAUUUUUGGAUUUAAUGUUUA